rnacentral:rRNA from 1 species
AUUGAACGCUGGCGGCAUGUCUUACACAUGCAAGUCGAACGGCAGCACGGGGCAACCUGGUGGCGAGUGGCGAACGGGUGAGUAAUGCAUCGGAACGUACCUUUCAGUGGGGGAUAACGUAGCGAAAGUUACGCUAAUACCGCAUACGACCUGAGGGUGAAAGCAGGGGAUCGCAAGACCUUGCGUUAUACGAGCGGCCGAUGUCAGAUUAGCUAGUUGGUGAGGUAAAGGCUCACCAAGGCGACGAUCUGUAGCGGGUCUGAGAGGAUGAUCCGCCACACUGGGACUGAGACACGGCCCAGACUCCUACGGGAGGCAGCAGUGGGGAAUUUUGGACAAUGGGGGCAACCCUGAUCCAGCCAUGCCGCGUGAGUGAAGAAGGCCUUCGGGUUGUAAAGCUCUUUCGGCCGGGAAGAAAUCGCACAGGCUAAUACUCUGUGUGGAUGACGGUACCGGCAUAAGAAGCACCGGCUAACUACGUGCCAGCCGCCGCCGUAAGAC